rnacentral:rRNA from 1 species
GUGGGGAAUCUUCCGCAAUGGACGAAAGUCUGACGGAGCAACGCCGCGUGAGUGAAGAAGGUUUUCGGAUCGUAAAGCUCUUUCGUUAGGGACGAACGUGCUCUUUGUGAAUAAUGAGGAGUAAUGACGGUACCUAAAUAAGAAGCCACGGCUAACUACGUGCCAGCAGCCGCGGUAAUACGUAGGUGGCAAGCGUUGUCCGGAAUUAUUGGGCGUAAAGCGCGCGCAGGCGGGAUAUCAAGUCUGUCUUAAAAGUGCGAGGCUCAACCUCGUGAGGGGACAGAAACUGGUAUUCUUGAGUGUCGGAGAGGAAAGUGGAAUUCCAAGUGUAGCGGUGAAAUGCGUAGAGAUUUGGAAGAACACCAGUGGCGAAGGCGACUUUCUGGACGAUGUCUGACGCUGAGGCGCGAAAGCUAGGGGAGCGAACGGGAUUAGAAACCCCAGUAGCC